rnacentral:lncRNA from 1 species
GAAAAAACAACCUUUACUGGCUAGAAUACCUUAGCAUUUUGCACAUCCUUUCAUAGUAACCAGAAUGAUAUAUAUAUGGUCUUGUCAUUAGUGGAAAUUCGUUGGAAGUUGCAAAAUUCCUGACAUGUGCUUUAAGAAAUAAAAUAAUUUGUUUAAGAACAUUAUUUGAUGUCCCUAUCCACAAGUCACAAUUCAAGAGAGGAAAUUUGGUAGAAGCCUAUCAGGUUUGAAGCAGCUAAUGUUGAGGGGAAGACAAGGCUCCAAGGAGAAUCAAGCAAAGAAAGGAUCUUAUACCUGGAAAAUAUAGAAGAGUCUUGAAAGAGAUGAAAAUGUUUUCCUGCUCUUGGAUCAGGAGGUACUAAGGCAAAUGCCACAUCAGCUUGAGAAAGAAAAUCCAAGAUGUUGUUGCCCGCACUCCACAGACGUCUCGCUAAGUCUUUAUUCCUGGGCUGAGCCAUACCUACUAUGACCAAUGCUAAUGGAAACAAUCUGUCAGGCUUCUUCAGAAGACCAAGAAUCAGCAGUGGGAAACUACAAUGAAGAAGACAAGAGCAGCAAGUUCGUUAGGAUAUCUCAGUGACUUCUAUUCCCACUUAGUAUCUCAUUCAAUACAAAAAACUGCUACCUGCUUAUCAGUUAAC